UACGUAGGGGGCAAGCGUUGUCCGGAUUUAUUGGGCGUAAAGAGCGUGUAGGCGGCUUUACAGGUCCGUUGUGAAAACUCGAAGCUCAACCUCGAGACGCCGGUGGAAACCGUAAAGCUAGAGUCCGGAAGAGGAGACUGGAAUUCCUGGUGUAGCGGUGGAAUGCGCAGAUAUCAGGAGGAACACCGGUGGCGAAGGCGGGUCUCUGGGCAGUAACUGACGCUGAGGAGCGAAAGCGUGGGGAGCGAACAGG
rnacentral:rRNA from 1 species